UGAAGGAAAUAAUUUUCAGUAACUCCUGCUCAAUGAAAUUUCAAUAGCCGCAGACAUCUGUGCUAAGGUAGCAUAAUCACUUGCCUAAUAAUUAUAGGAUAGAAUGAAAGGAAGCACAAGUAAACUUCUUUUUUAAUAAAAAUUAUUUAAUUUUAUAAAUAAGUAAGAACCACUUAUUUUAGCAGGAGGACGAUAAGACCCUAUCAAACUUUACAUUCAUGUUUAGCUGGGGCGGCUAAAAAUUACAUCUUUCCUUUUUAUUAAAAUAUUUAACCUAUUUUUGAUAUCACCAAUGUUACUGUAGGGAUAACAGCAUUAUUCUUUCCUGAAGACCUUAUAAAAGAAAGAGCUUUUGACCUCGAUGUUGAAUUAAAACCCUUUUAGAGGCAGAUCUCUAAAAAGCAAGUCUGUUCGACUUUUAAACUUUU
rnacentral:rRNA from 1 species